rnacentral:rRNA from 1 species
GAUGAACGCUGGCGGCGUGCCUAAUACAUGCAAGUCGAGCGAAUGGAUUAAGAGCUUGCUCUUAUGAAGUUAGCGGCGGACGGGUGAGUAACACGUGGGUAACCUGCCCAUAAGACUGGGAUAACUCCGGGAAACCGGGGCUAAUACCGGAUAAUAUUUUGAACCGCAUGGUUCGAAAUUGAAAGGCGGCUUCGGCUGUCACUUAUGGAUGGACCCGCGUCGCAUUAGCUAGUUGGUGAGGUAACGGCUCACCAAGGCAACGAUGCGUAGCCGACCUGAGAGGGUGAUCGGCCACACUGGGACUGAGAGACGGCCCAGACUCCCACGGGAGGUAGCAGUAGGGAAUCUUCCGCAAUGGACGAAAGUCUGACGGAGCAACGCCGCGUGAGUGAUGAAGGCUUUCGGGUCGUAAAACUCUGUUGUUAGGGAAGAACAAGUGCUAGUUGAAUAAGCUGACACCUUGACGGUACCUAACCAGAAAGCCACGGCUAACUACGUGCCAGCCGCCGCGGUAA